ACACGUAGGGGCCUGACGUUGUUCGGAAUCAUUGGGCGUAAAGGGCGCGCAGGCGGCCGUCCAAGUCCGGUGUUAAAUGCUCGGGCUCAACCCGAUCAUGCGCUGGAAACUGGGCGGCUGGAGUCCCGGAGGGGAUGCCGGAAUUCCAGGUGUAGGGGUGAAAUCUGUAGAUAUCUGGAAGAACACCGAUGGCGAAGGCAGGCAUCUGGCCGGAGACUGACGCUGAGGCGCGAAGGCGCGGGGAGCGAACAGGUGUAGAUACCCUGGUAGUCCGCGCAGUAAACGAUGCGCACCAGGUGUCGGGCGGCAGCGCCCGGUACCGGAGCAAACGCGAUGAGUGCGCCGCCUGGGGAGUAUGCCCGCAAGGGUGAAACUCAAAGGAAUUGACGGGG
rnacentral:rRNA from 1 species